UACAGAGGUCUCAAGCGUUGUUCGGAUUCAUUGGGCGUAAAGGGUGUGUAGGUGGCGCGCUAAGUCGGGUGUGAAAUUUCGGAGCUUAACUCCGAAACUGCAUUCGAUACUGGUGUGCUUGAGGACUGGAGAGGAGACUGGAAUUCAUGGUGUAGCAGUGAAAUGCGUAGAGAUCAUGAGGAAGACCAGUGGCGAAGGCGGGUCUCUGGACAGUUCCUGACGCUGAGGCACGAAGGCCAGGGGAGCAAACGGG
rnacentral:rRNA from 1 species